GUGUCAGCCGCCGCGGUAAUACGUAGGGUGCGAGCGUUAAUCGGAAUUACUGGGCGUAAAGCGUGCGCAGGCUGUUUUGUAAGUCAGAUGUGAAAUCCCUGGGCUCAACCUAGGAACUGCGUUUGAAACUACAAGGCUAGAGUGUAGCAGAGGGGGGUAGAAUUCCACGUGUAGCAGUGAAAUGCGUAGAGAUGUGGAAGAAUACCAAUGGCGAAGGCAGCCCCCUGGGUUAACACUGACGCUCAUGCACGAAAGUGUGGGGAGCAAACAGGAUUAGAAACCCCCGUAGUCC
rnacentral:rRNA from 1 species